GAUGAACGCUGGCGGCGUGCCUAAUACAUGCAAGUCGAGCGAACAGACGAGGAGCUUGCUCCUCUGACGUUAGCGGCGGACGGGUGAGUAACACGUGGAUAACCUACCUAUAAGACUGGGAUAACUUCGGGAAACCGGAGCUAAUACCGGAUAAUAUAUUUAACCGCAUGGUUCAAUAUUGAAAGACGGUUUUGCUUUCACUUAUAUAUGGAUCCCCGCCGCAUUAGCUAGUUGGUAAGUUAACGGCUUACCAAGGCAACGAUGCGUAGCCGACCUGAGAGGGUGAUCGGCCACACUGGAACUGAGACACGGUCCAGACUCCUACGGGAGGCAGCAGUAGGGAAUCUUCCGCAAUGGGCGAAAGCCUGACGGAGCAACGCCGCGUGAGUGAUGAAGGUCUUCGGAUCGUAAAACUCUGUUAUUAGGGAAGAACAAAUGUGUAAGUAACUAUGCACGUCUUGACGGUACCUAAUCAGAAAGCCACGGCUAACUACGUG
rnacentral:rRNA from 1 species